GUAGGUGGCAAGCGUUGUCCGGAAUUAUUGGGCGUAAAGCGCGCGCAGGCGGUUCUUUAAGUCUGAUGUGAAAGCCCACGGCUCAACCGUGGAGGGUCAUUGGAAACUGGAGAACUUGAGUACAGAAGAGGAAAGCGGAAUUCCACGUGUAGCGGUGAAAUGCGUAGAGAUGUGGAGGAACACCAGUGGCGAAGGCGGCUUUCUGGUCUGUAACUGACGCUGAGGUGCGAAAGCGUGGGGAGCAAACAGGGAUUAGAUACCCUGGUAGUCCACGCCGUAAACGAUGAGUGCUAAGUGUUAGGGGGUUUCCGCCCCCUUAGUGCUGCAGCUAACGCAUUAAGCACUCCGCCUGGGGAGUACGGCCGCAAGGCUG
rnacentral:rRNA from 1 species